GCUGCCGCCCGGACUGAACCGCACCCGCCGCGCUGCGCCGCCUUGGGGUACUUGCCGCACGCCGGAGCUUUCCAUUGGCGGGCAGCCCCCGCGCCCUCCCACAUGCCUCGUUCUCAUUGGCCCACACGCCAUAGAGCCCAGACGGGCGGCUCCACGCUGCCCUUCCCCAUUGGCUGGUGGUGUCUUGGCCCUAGACAGUUGUCGGCUUCCGAUUGAACCUCAGCGGUCCACAGGAAGUAGCUGCGGCCGCCUCGGAAGCUGCAUGGGCAGCCAUAUUGGAUAGGGGCAGCUACCUUAGCUGUUGCUGGAGCUGUGGGCGGAAGUAGGAUCUGGCUGCCUCCCAGCGUCAUACUAAAUUGUCCUGCAUUUCACUUGUACUUGUCCCCACGCCCGCCGGAGAAACCCUGCGGAUCUCCCUAACAGGAGCCCGGACUCGUGGUGCAGGGUCAGGAGUUCUAGGGUCAGCUGAGACUCAAUAGAUCAAGUAGGGUUGAACAGCCGCAGACAAGACAAAUUUAUUUUUCCCUUCUUGUUUUGAACAGUCACGUGGGUGAGGGAGCCAACCUCUGGGAGUCCGCUGAGGCUCAGGCACCCGCCUGCCCGCCCCAGCUGGCUGAAACCUGCCUUGUCCAGGGUGGGACGGACUGUAGGUUCCCCCUGGAGGAAGGGCUCCGAGCCCAUCAACCCCGGCUCAUCCCGAGGCUUUGGUGUCGCCUCAGUGUGGUGGCUGCGGGGCUUAGGAGGUUUGUCCUCCACUUUUGGAAGCGAUAUUUCCUCUGGGGAAAUUUCCUCACAAGCUCCCGACGCAUGCUUGAGCACGCUGGCCCGCCUGCUUUCCAGCUGAGCCAUCAAGGCCCUUGGCUAUCGAGCUACUUCCCGAGUGGGGUCCCGUGGGUCGACUGACAAGCACCAGAGGAUGUGUCCUCCUGGGCUGCCCUGCUUCCAAGGCUUGGCUACCUGUCCUUGAAGGUUACUUGCUGGCAUUUCUGUUAAACAAGUUGGCACUUGUUUCCAAGAGAAAAACACCCUGACCAUGGCAUUUUCUGUUUGAAAAGAGGGGCUGAGGAGAAUGAACGAGGACCUAGAACCCAGGACCUGGUCAUGAAGGCCAGAUAGGCCAGUAAAAGAGGAACUGGGGGUAACAUGCCUUAACAAGGAGAAGGCAGUCUUGUGACCAUCAUAAUGUGACCCAAGCAAAUGAAAGAAAAAGUUUUGUCUCAA